UACGAAGGUCCCAAGCGUUAUCCGGAUUUAUUGGGUUUAAAGGGUGCGUAGGCGUCCUGGAAAGUUACGGUUGAAAUCUCCUUGCUCAACAAGGAAACUGGCCGUAAAACUAUCAGGAUUGAGUACAUUUGAAGCGGGCGGAAUGUGUCAUGUAGCGGUGAAAUGCUUAGAUAUGACACAGAACACCAAUUGCGAAGGCAGCUCGCUAAACUGUAACUGACGCUGAGGCACGAAAGCGUGGGGAUCAAACAGG
rnacentral:rRNA from 1 species